rnacentral:rRNA from 1 species
CCUACGGGUGGCAGCAGUCGAGAAUCAUUCACAAUGGGGAAAACCCUGAUGGUGCGACGCCGCGUGGGGGAAUGAAGGUCUUCGGAUUGUAAACCCCUGUCAUGUGGGAGCAAAUUAAAAAGAUAGUACCACAAGAGGAAGAGACGGCUAACUCUGUGCCAGCAGCCGCGGUAAUACAGAGGUCUCAAGCGUUGUUCGGAAUCACUGGGCGUAAAGCGUGCGUAGGCUGUUUCGUAAGUCGUGUGUGAAAGGCGCGGACUCAACCCGCGGACGGCACAUGAUACUGCGAGACUAGAGUAAUGGAGGGGGAACCGGAAUUCUCGGUGUAGCAGUGAAAUGCGUAGAUAUCGAGAGGAACACUCGUGGCGAAGGCGGGUUCCUGGACAUUAACUGACGCUGAGGCACGAAGGCCAGGGGAGCGAAAGGGAUUAGAUACCCCAGUAGUC